AAGUCGUAACAAGGUUUCCGUAGGUGAACCUGCGGAAGGAUCAUUAACACGUAUCCAAACGCUCCCCCGUGAACCUUCAUCCUGCUCCUGUAACCCGCGUAGUUCGCAAUCUCUGAUAAAUCAUAGCCCGGAAAGUUGUAGUGAUUCAGAGACUUCUGGCUACGUGCGAACAUUGGAACAGUUUUUUACCCAAUGUAUUACAUUGAGCUUCACAUUAAACUGUGGGGUUAUUAGGGGGCAUGCGGACCCUUUGGCAAAGCUCCUGCCCGAGUGUACGGUCUACAGGCGCUACCCUUGCACAAUCAAUGACACUUUCCGACACUGACUGCUUGGGGAAACAUUGCCUAUAGAACUACCGCUCGAUUGUAACCGAACAACUGUUAACAAUAGAUAUCUUGGUUCUC
rnacentral:misc_RNA from 1 species